GUUAAUGGGGGGAUUACCCCGUGAAUCGUGGCCUGAUGGGUAGAUCGAACGAUUUGCUGCAUCGUUGCACCUCGCUUCCUCCUUGCAGUCAGCCGCCUUGCGGGGCGUAUCCAUCAAACUCAGAGCUACAGGGAGUUAGUCGAGAUGUCUGAUCGCGAAACCGGUACCGUCAAGUGGUUCAACGACGCCAAAGGCUUUGGCUUCAUCAGUCGUGAGAAUGGUGAAGACGUUUUUGUGCACUUCCGCGCCAUCCAGACCCAGGGCUUCAAGAGCCUGAAAGAAGGCCAGCAGGUCACCUUCACCGUGGUCCAGGGCCAGAAGGGCCUGCAGGCCGACGCCGUACAGCCGGUCUGAUACGCUGCUGGCGGCAGCAAAAAGGCCCGCGCGAGCGGGCCUUUUUGCU
rnacentral:other from 1 species